GGAUGUGAGGGCGAUCUGGCUGCGACAUCUGUCACCCCAUUGAUCGCCAGGUUUGAUUCGGCUGAUCUGGCUGGCUAGGCGGGUGUCCCCUUCCUCCCUCACCGCUCCAUUUGCGUCCCUCCUGAAGCUGCGUGCUCAGUCGAAGAAGAUGACCUUCCCUGCUAAAGGAGGACCGGUCUUCGGGUUCGGUCAAGGGUAUACGAGUAGCUGCGCUCCCCUGCUAGAACCUCCAAACAAGCUCUCAAGAUGUGCAUAUACAAAGAGGCAACGAUGUGGAAAGCCAGGAUAAAGGAC
rnacentral:snRNA from 1 species